AAUAUUGCGCAAUGGGGGAAACCCUGACGCAGCGACGCCGCGAGAGCGAAUAAGGCCAUAUGGACGUAAAGAUUUGCUAUAAGGGAAGAACAUUAUCUAUGUAACCAAUGUAGAUAAAAGAAGGUACUUUCUGUGUAAUCCACGGCCAACUAUCUGUCAGCAGCCGCGGUAAGACAUAGGGGGCUAGCGUUGUCCGGAAUUACUGGGCGUAAAGAGCACGUAGGCGGGGAUGUAAGUCAGGUGUGAAAGACCGCAGCUUAACUGCGGGGUUGCACUUGAGACUGAAUUUCUUGAGGGCAGGAGAGGAAAGCAGGAUUCCUGGUGUAGCGGUGAAAUGCGUAGAAAUCAGGAGGAAUACCGGUGGCGAAGGCGGCUUUCUGGACUGACCCUGACGCUGAGGUGCGAAAGCGUGGGUAGCAAACA
rnacentral:rRNA from 1 species